rnacentral:rRNA from 1 species
UGGGGAAUCUUGGACAAUGGGCGAAAGCCUGAUCCAGCCACGCCGCGUGUGUGAAGAAGGCCUUCGGGUUGUAAAGCACUUUUAGCAGGAAAGAAAGGUUGCGCGUUAAUAUCGUGCGGCUUUGACGUUACUUGCAGAAAAAGCACCGGCUAACUCCGUGCCAGCAGCCGCGGUAAUACGGAGGGUGCAAGCGUUAAUCGGAAUUACUGGGCGUAAAGCGCGCGUAGGCGGCUUAUUAAGUCGGAUGUGA